AUCCUUUUGUAGUUCAUAAGUGUGAUGAUUGGGUUUUCAUGCUCAUGUGUGAAAUGUGCCUUUCUCAAACCUUGUUAUGACACUGGCACAUUACCUGUGUGACA
ensembl:snoRNA